AUGAAUGUACCUGCCAUGAGGGCUAUGAAGGAAACGGCAAAAAUUGUACAGAUUUCAAUAAGUGCGAAGACAAUCCUUGCCAUGUGAAUGCAAAUUGCACAACUGUUAAUGGAUGGUAUGAAUGUAACUGUCACGAGGGAUAUGAAGGCAAUGGCACCAGCUGCACAGAUAUCAAUGAAUGCGAAACAAAUCCUUGUGAUGAAAAUGCAAAUUCUACAAAUGUAGAUGGUUCGUAUGAAUGUACCUGCCAUGAGGGCUAUGAAGGAAACGGCAAAAAUUGUACAGAUUUCAAUAAGUGCGAAGACAAUCCUUGCCAUGUGAAUGCAAAUUGCACCACUGUUAAUGGAUGGUAUGAAUGUAACUGUCACGAGGGAUAUGAAGGCAAUGGCACCAGCUGCACAGGUACAUCAUAAAAGUCUACAAUAAUCCAAGUUUACGGUUAACGGAUGGAUAGUUAUACAUUCAUCAGGAGCGGAUCCUGAUUCGCAUCUUUGAACAAAUCAAAGACGCAAAAAUAAAUAUA